rnacentral:rRNA from 1 species
GACGAACGCUGGCGGCGUGCUUAACACAUGCAAGUCGAACGCUGAAGCUCAGCUUUUGUUGGGUGGAUGAGUGGCGAGCGGGUGAGUAACACGUGAGUAACCUGCCCCCUUCUUUGGGAUAACGCCCGGAAACGGGUGCUAAUACUGGAUAUUCACUGGUCUUCGCAUGGGGGUUGGUGGAAAGGGUUUUUCUGGUGGGGGAUGGGCUCGCGGCCUAUCAGCUUGUUGGUGGGGCGAUGGCCUACCAAGGCUUUGACGGGUAGCCGGCCUGAGAGGGUGACCGGUCACAUUGGGACUGAGAUACGGCCCAGACUCCUACGGGAGGCAGCAGUGGGGAAUAUUGCGCAAUGGGCGCAAGCCUGAUGCAGCGACGCCGCGUGAGGGAUGGAGGCCUUCGGGUUGUGAACCUCUUUCGCUCAUGGUCAAGCCGCAACAAUGGUUGUGGUGAGGGUAGUGGGUAAAGAAGCGCCGGCUAACUACGUG